AGCAGCCGCGGUAAUUCCAGCUCCAAUAGCGUAUAUUAAAGUUGUUGCAGUUAAAAAGCUCGUAGUUGAAUUUCGGGAUCAAAUUGUCGGUCGUGCCUCGGUACGUACUGGCGUUAUGGUUCCUCCUUCUGAAGAACCGCGAUGUCAUUAAUUUGGUGUCGCGGGGAAUCAGGACUGUUACUUUGAAAAAUUAGAGUGUUUAAAGCAGGCUCGCGCUUGAAUACAUUAGCAUGGAAUAAUGAAAUAGGACGUUUGAUUCUAUUUUGUUGGUUUCUAGGAUCGACGUAAUGAUUAAUAGGGAUAGUUGGGGCAUUAGUAUUCAAUUGUCAGAGGUGAAAUUCUUGG
rnacentral:rRNA from 1 species